rnacentral:rRNA from 1 species
AUACGAAGGGGGCUAGCGUUGUUCGGAAUCACUGGGCGUAAAGCGCACGUAGGUGGACUAAUUAGUUGAGGGUGAAAUCCCGGGGCUUAACCUCGGAACUGCCUUCAAUACUGUUAGUCUUGAGUCCGAGAGAGGUGAGUGGAAUUCCUAGUGUAGAGGUGAAAUUCGUAGAUAUUAGGAAGAACACCAGUGGCGAAGGCGGCUCACUGGCUCGGUACUGACGCUGAGGUGCGAAAGCGUGGGGAGCAAACAGGAUUAGAAACCCUAGUAGUCC